CAGUCGCCGCGGUAAUACGAAGGGGGCUAGCGUUGUUCGGAAUCACUGGGCGUAAAGCGCACGUAGGCGGACUUUUAAGUCAGGGGUGAAAUCCCAAGGCUCAACCUUGGAACUGCCUUUGAUACUGGAAGUCUUGAGUUCGGGAGAGGUGAGUGGAACUGCGAGUGUAGAGGUGAAAUUCGUAGAUAUUCGCAAGAACACCAGUGGCGAAGGCGGCUCACUGGCCCGAUACUGACGCUGAGGUGCGAAAGCGUGGGGAGCAAACAGGAUUAGAGACCCCAGUAGUCCCUGUCUCUUAUAC
rnacentral:rRNA from 1 species